GACCUCGUGGCGCAACGGUUAGCGCGUUCUGACUCCAGAUCAGAAGGUUGCGUGUUCAAAUCACGUCGAGGUCA